UGGAAUAGAUGACGUCUAGUGAUACUGGUCUGCGUAAGUGAUGGCAGGGGCAGGUGUUCCGUGGACGAGAGAGAAAUCAUUUCGAGAAGUGGUGGGUGGCAACAGGGUCGGGUAGCGGUGGUGGCAAGGGGCCUCGCCUGAGCUUAGUGUUGGGCUGACCGUGCACCCUGGCAUCCGUGCAACACCGCUCACCACUGUGCUGCCUGACCGUCGUCACCCCACACCCAAGGGCAUGAGGAUUUCUUGAUGGUGUAAAGGCGGAAAAGUGCCAGUUAGUCAUGGAAACGUACGGAGCCUACGCCGCCUCCCCACCCCCGUCCAUAGAAAGUCCGGACCGCCCACCACAACCCUCGUCGCUCCCGCUCGCAACGGCGCUGAAAUAUCGCGUAAGUUUUUGAGGUGUUCCGUGACAGCGGAGGUGGUGGCGGGAGGGACGCAGUGUGCGCAAGGCCUCCUGCUUGCCCCCGGCGAUGUCCACGUUCCUAAGGCGCCGCUUAACAUUGUCGAAAAGGCGAGGAAAGCGCUUCGUAGUCUGCUAGGGACCGCUCCAGUAGGGACCUGCCCGGCGAUGCAGCAGCCGCAGCGCCUGCACCGUUUCGAGGAUCACGUCUCGAGGACGACGCUCUCCGGAGUACCGAGUGCUGCCGCCGGUGCCGUUGUGUGGCCUCUAGGCUUGAAGGUUCUUGGCUGGUGAAGGUGUUUGGCCUGGGAAUGCAGGGCGCUUGUGUUACGGUGUGCUACAUGUUAUAUAGUGAAUCAUAUUUUGGGAAACAUGAAAUAUGAGGUUGCACCUAUUUUGCAUUCAGUUUAUAUAUGUCAAGAAAUUGCUUGGUUCGAGGAAGGCCGUGUGAGCCACUGGCAGGCAAGCCAAGGAUGGAAGAUAUUAAUGUUGAGGAAUGAGGAUGAGAAUUGAUUUUCUUAAUUACUUGUAAAUGUGUGUGUUGUUCAAAGAAAAUUUAUGGUGUUCAAGAUGAAACCGAAGUAAUGGCAAGUAAAACAUCUGUACUUAACCUCUUCGUUGUAAUAUGGUAAUUCAUUUUGCCAUUGGGUAAUUAAAUAUUUGGUAAAAAAAAAAAUAUCUAAAUAUCCAUAUACAGAAAGAUGGACAGAACUUAAUACAAGUUUGAUAAAUAUUUAUUUACAUUUAUUACAGAUAUUUAUAUCUGUUAUUAUUAUUAUUAAAUUCUACAUAUAUCUCUUA